rnacentral:rRNA from 1 species
CUACGGAGGAUCCGAGCGUUAUCCGGAUUUAUUGGGUUUAAAGGGUGCGCAGGCGGCCAUUUAAGUCAGCGGUUAAAUCGUGGGGCUCACCCCCAUUCUGCCGUUGAUACUGGGUGGCUUGAUUGCGGUCGAGGUUGGCGGAAUUCGUUGUGUAGCGGUGAAAUGCAUAGAUAUGACGAAGAACACCGAUUGCGUAGGCAGCUGACCAGACCGCAAAUGACGCUCAUGCACGAAAGUGCGGGGAUCGAACAGGAUUAGAUACCCUGGUAGUCCGCACAGUAAACGAUGAAUACUUGUUUUCGGCGAUAUAAUGUCGGAGGCAAAGCGAAAGCGAUAAGUAUUCCACCUGGGGAGUACGCCGGCAACGGUGAAACUCAAAGGAAUUGACGGGG